rnacentral:rRNA from 1 species
AUUGAACGCUGGCGGCAGGCCUAACACAUGCAAGUCGAGCGGAUGACGGGAGCUUGCUCCUUGAUUCAGCGGCGGACGGGUGAGUAAUGCCUAGGAAUCUGCCUGGUAGUGGGGGACAACGUGUCGAAAGGGACGCUAAUACCGCAUACGUCCUACGGGAGAAAGCAGGGGACCUUAGGGCCUUGCGCUAUCAGAUGAGCCUAGGUCGGAUUAGCUAGUUGGUGGGGUAAUGGCUCACCAAGGCGACGAUCCGUAACUGGUCUGAGAGGAUGAUCAGUCACACUGGAACUGAGACACGGUCCAGACUCCUACGGGAGGCAGCAGUGGGGAAUAUUGGACAAUGGGCGAAAGCCCGAUCCAGCCAUGCCGCAUGUGUGAAGAAGGUCUUCGGAUUGUAAAGCACUUUAAGUUGGGAGGAAGGGCAGUAAGUUAAUACCUUGCUGUUUUGACGUUACCGACAGAAUAAGCACCGGCUAACUCUGUGCCAGCCGCCGCCGUAA